GGAGAGGGUAUAGGAAUAUAAAUUAGAGAUGGUCUGGUUUUCUAGGAUUAGCAGAAAGAAGGAAAUUUUGAGAUAAACCCUGGGAAAGGAUUCUGGGUAGGAAGGAAUUGUGGGAGUCUAAAACUGAAAAUAACUGAACUUUACUUCCUUCUUGGAUUUCCUCUGAGCUGGGAGUGAAAACCUACUUUCUGUCUCUCUACCAACAAUUUAAAGCUGAAGGAGUUUUGCUCUAAGAGAUUCUCCUUGGAAAUUUGGAAUUUUGUGGAGAAAUCUUUGUCAUCCAGGUAGAGGAUUUACUUGGAGGAAACUAAUUUCCCUGAUUCCAGUCUUCAUCUGGCAGUGAUCCAUCUACCAGAAUUCCCAUUGGCUAAGGUUCUUGUGGUGGAGCCAAGAUGGAGAAAAAUCCAGAACAGCUCUGUGCCACCAUGAGAAUCCUCUCCAACCAAGAUUAAAGUAUUGCCACAAAACAAAGGCAGGAGUGAAAAAUCCAAAAAGGAGCCAGAGUGAAAUAACUUUAAAGAAAAGAAAAAUCCAAAAGCAAAUGAAAUUUAGAUAGACACAGAAGAGCAGUCUUCAACGAUUCAUUUAAGCUAUUAGAUGUUUGGACCUGAGCCACUCCUUUCUGAAAUCAACUACAUCUAUCCAGAACUAUGACUAAUUACAAUCCUUGGACUUGGUAGGGUACAUUUGUAUGC
rnacentral:lncRNA from 1 species